GUGUUUUCUGAGACAUCACAUAUACUAAAAUUGGUUUGAUACAGAGAAGAUUAGCAUGGUUCCUUGUGCACAGAUGACACGCAAAAAUGUAAUCAUAAAAAACAUUUAU